AGAUGGAGUUUCACUCUGUUGCCCAGGCUGGAGUGCAGUGACAUGAUCUCGACUCAUUGCAACCUCCUCCUCCCAGGUUCAAGCAACUCUCCUGCCUCAGCCUCCCGAGUAGCUUGGAACUACAGGUAGCUCACAGGCAAAUAUACAGAAAUGUAUAAAGAAACUGACUUCAGUAAAGAUAAGUGAGUAGCCGAAAAUCCCACUUAAAGAGGCAAAACCAUAUUGGAACCAAUGUUACAAUGAAUCCUAGUAGGCUUCUACAACAUGCUUGGUCACUUCAACACCAGGAUCCUGCAGCACUCGCAGCUUCUUCAGUGCCUAGCUCCUGUGGUGUAGAGUGCCUAAGGUAAAGACAUCUUAUGAUCAGCUUUCCUCAGCACCCCAGAGGGAGAAUUUCCUGCAAGUUCUGCCGGCAUGGCACCGCAAGACUUCUCUGUCACCCAGUGAGCAUGACUGUGCUCACAGGUCUGAACUGCAGCUCUGAGAGGCAAACCAGGAGGACCUUUCUUGGAUGUUCCAUCUCAGGUGCUUCUUACUACUCUGUAUUUUUUCAGUUCCCUUUUAUUAAUAAUAACCAAUUCCUUGUUGCUUCAAUCGCUUGUUAUAUUAAUAGCUAAUAAUCCUUUAUAUUAAGCUUUCUUGUUAUAAUUACCUUAUGUUUUAUCUAUCUUGGUUGGCCCCAAACUGAUACACCUUCCAAUUAGUUGGCUAUUAGAAAAAGGCUUCCAGCUGCUGUACUGAGCAAAUUUUUUACUAAGUGUUUACAAUGUAUUAUAUUUGUGUCAGGUACUAGGGAUAUACAGCAAACAAUAUGGAUGUAGACCCGAUCCUAGCCCCCAUCAAAUUAAACCCUACUUACCCAGAUAAAAUGUAAGCAGGACAUUAUAAUACAUUCCGUUAUGUUCUGGUGGAGGCAUAUUGCAUACUGAAUUGAAAGGAGAAAUGACAGGAUGAUAGAACCUGGAAGGUUAUAUCCUGAGUCAUAUGGAAGACAUUAUACUUCUGAAUAGGUGUGUGCACUAUAAAUAAAAUCAAAGAGAGAAUGUUUCAGAAAAGCAAAACAAGAAAGUAUUUUGUGAGCAUCAGAACAUUGGAUGAUGGUAUGAGAUCUCUCAAGUAUGAUGAGCUUCCUGGCACUAAAGAUAUUUAAGCAGAGACCAAAUAGUCAUCUUAUAGAUUUAACUUUGGGUCAAAUGAUUUUUAACGCACUCUUCAACCUUUUGUUUCUAUGACUAUAAAACUAAGUUAUAGUUACUUUAUCACAGCAUAUCUGCUUUUUCUCCUGUGCAACACAGCCCACCCAAUUUUAUUUUAUCCUGCCUUUAUGAUAAUUAUAAAGCUAAAGAGCUUAUUCUCAACAUCUUCUUAAACUUUGUGGCACACAUAGAAUUUCCUAUUGACAGAUGUUAUUCAAGUCAGUCUUCUAAUUUCUUUAUAAUUUCUUGUCCUACACAUUUCAUACUUUUCUUUUGUAUAUCUGUGUAUCAGGCCUUCCUAUGCUCUGUAACAAAGCAUCCAAUUUUUCAGUGGCUUCUAAUAAUUUGUUUAUAUUCUUGUAGUGGUUACCCUAGAGAUUGUCCUAUGCAUUCCUAACAACAGCAUAAUAUAAAUUAUUUUCUCAUUACCUAAAUAGUAGUACUUGAGUCUUAGAAACAUUUAAGUGUUCUCUUCUACCAUUUACAUUUUUGUUGUCAUACAUUUUAGAAAAACAAAAUUGAGGAAUUGUGUUUUGGUCAAAGCCUUCUCAGUUACAGAUAAGAGAUUUUAGUGAGGUGUCCAGAACUCCUACUUUUGCUCAAUUGCAGGUUCUGGGCUAUCCCUAUGUUUCAAGUCAGGAUAGUAGCAGUACCCAAGAUAUUCUUGAAAUACAGAGCAGUCCCACUUGCCAGGGAUAGUUCCAAAAACUUUUUACACUUCAGCAUAUUAAUUAUUUGAUAUAAACCUCAGUGAAAUCUGAAAUUCCCUGAGACUCUAGAUUGUACUGAGUCCUUUAAAACUUUCUAUUUUCAUUCCAAGAAGAAACUGAGUGUCUAGCAAACACCAUUGUGAACCCAUGUAUAGAGGAAAAAGCAGAUGAUGAAACACUUUUGGGAAACUACCAUUGGAAUAUGAUCUAUCUAUCGAAAUAUAUAUAUAUGUAUAUACGUGUGUGUGUGUGUGUGUGUGUGUGUAUAUAUAUAUAUAUAUAUAUGUAUAUAUAAAGUUAAAACCAAGAUGCUCCAAUAAAGAAAAUGUUUACACAAUACUUUAUGAAAAGCUAUCUGUAUUCCCAAUGUAGGCCUCCCUGAUAUAACCCCACUAAGGUUAUCCUAGAUUAGAUGAGCCCAUGGUUCUUAACCAUGACAAGUGUAGAUCCAUGCAAGAGUAAUCAGAUCUAGAAUGACCUCUUACUAUCUGUAACUGUAACUGCAUCUCUCAAGGUUGCCAAUGGUCCAUCAGGAUUAGAAAUAUUAAAAUGCAUGUCUACCUGCUUUUUUUUUUUAACUUUACCUUACUCUUAGAUACAAAGAUGAGCUGCUGUAUAAGGAGUUGUGGAAAUGAAAGAAUAUUCCUUAAGUUCUAGAAAUUGUGUUAGGCACAUUUAUACAUUAUUUCAGAUAAACUUGGCUUAAUAUGCAAAACAGAUAUUAUCAACCCCUUCUUAUAGAUGAACAAACUAAGACAAAAAUAAGUACAGUGGUAAAACCAGAAUCUGAACACAGAUCUCUCUUGACCCCACAUUCAUAGCCAGUCCACUUCAUUAGCUGGCCUUUCUAUUUUGAUUUGUGAUUGUUACAGAAAAAAAUUUUAAAAGAUUAUGGUACAUGUCUUAGUAUGAAGUUAAAGAUCUUAUAUUAGACGUGUUAAUUUUUAGGAUUGAGCUACAGCAAACAGAAUGGUUGUCAUCAAGCAUAGUUUGUGUAAAGUGACUCUAAUAUUUUCCCAGGAAUGGUAGCAUAUGUUUUGUUGCUCAGUGAAAUUAUUGACCAUGCUGUCUUCUGAGUCAGGGACAUAUUCUAAGAUGUAUAACUUUGUUUUGAUAAACUUCUAGCAAGAAGAAUUAGCUGCGCUCUCUUUAUCUGGUAGUCUGAUAGCAUUAUCUGUGGGAUUUUUUUAUGGGGCAGAUGUGGGUAUUUUGCUUUUUCUAAUAGGUUAUGCCUCAAGUAACUGUAACUCUUUUCCCAAUUAUCCUAAUAGUGAUUUCCAAAGACAUAAAAUACAUUAAUUGUUAAGGCUGUCAUUUGCUCCACAUUGCCCUUGGCAUAGAAAGCGAUAGAGAAUAUACAUUAAAAAGCAUCUAAAUGUGUGUUCAAGUUGGAAACUCUUAAUCCUUAUCCAUUAAGGAAAAUUGAAGUGAUUUAGUGGGGCACAGAUCACCACCUUAGGAACACACAAGUGAGUGAAAGAUUGAGGAUUAUAUCAUAAAAAAUGGGGUAGGUAAACUAACCGUUUUCAGAAAAGAAUCCUGGGGCAAACUUAAGAAAUUAUUAAAGAGAAGCACUGGUAAGGGCUUUAAAGCUUUUGAUAAAUUAAUAAGAAUGACCCAGGUUAACCCAUAAAUUAGCCAAGUCAACUAUCAAUGUUUUUCAUGGGAGCAACACAGAGCCAGAAAACAAAAUUUCAGUUUUGAUUUGUAGGCCCAUUUCUGUAUGUUCAAAAUGGAUUGGAGUUUUAAAUUAUCUUCCUGAUAUACUUCACAUUUCUUCUCCUAUACUUCUAACAUAUAUUGCUAUGCAUUUUAUCAACAUCCAUUCUCUCUGAAUACUUUUUAUUUCUUAGCAUAAUAUUUUAUUUCAGGCAUACUCCUAUAUGAUGUACAUUUAUUUUUCUUUUAAACUAUAUAUACCUUGUGGCAUAAUCUAAAUAGAAGAAACAUAGUAAAUGUUUCCAAAAUGUUAACACUACUUAUAGUUUCUUUAUAUCUUUCUUAUAAUACAAUUCCUAACCAGCUCCAAUCCAUUGUAAACAAGGCAUAAUAAAAUAUAUAUAUAUGCAAAUAAAUAUAUAGAUUAAAAAUAAAUUAACAUUUUACCUUCACUUCAGAGUAUUUUUAGAGAUUUUAAAACAUCAUUAUGUAAUAAAAUCUUGUUUAAAAGCACUGACCAUUUGUGAUUAGAAAUUAAAUUUCUGAUCAUUUAAGAAAGUUAAACAGUAGUAUCUCUUUUCUGUGGUUCCAAGAGUUCAAGUCUCUUCAGAAAUUCAAAAUUUUGUGUAAAGUUUACAAAUUUGGUCAUAUAGUAUAACCUAGUAUUCCCAAGAGAAGAAUUAAAUUAGAAAUUUCUUUCUGAAUCUACUGACGUGAUAAGUCCAAAAUAUGACAUGCUGCCCUUGUUCAUUUUCUUGCAUUGUUGAGAUUCACUUAAUUUUAUGUCAUCUAUCCCCAUUCAAAUUUGAGGGAACUUUUUUUGUUUAGAUUGCCAUUAUAUUUAUGAGCAGUAGGUUAAUGAUAUUUAUAUUUGAACACAGAAUUCCUUUAAUUUUUAUUAUUUCUUAAUCCUAUUUAUUCAGAAGUUAAUUGACUUCCUUAAAAAAAUUGAGUACUAGUUACAUAAACAGACAUGUUGUGAACACUUCUUGUUAUCAACUCUCUGAAGAUAAUGGUAAUAGGCCUAUUUUACUAUAAUUAGACUAAAUUAAUUCAAGUUAGUUAAUGAAAGAAAAUGGAGUCCAUAGAAUAUUUCCAUGUCAUAAAAAUGAAAUUCCAAAUUAAAUGAAAUUGUUUGCUUUAAAAUACUAUAGCAUUCAGGCAUAUAGAGAUUUGCUUGAAACCUGGGAGCAUUAUUGCUGUGCAUCCUCUGAUUAUGACACACACAGUAAUAUCAGGUUGAAACUAACACAAAAUUGAUUAAGUGUGUAGAGUCUUCGUGAAAAUGUUCAGUACACAUAAAUAUUUGGUGAGCUAAAAAAUAUUUUACAUCUGGAACUAAUUUAAAUAUAAAACAGAAUUUCAUUUCAUUGACUAUUACACAAUUUAAUUAAUUAAUUAAUACACAAUUACACAAUGAAAAUAAUUUUUCAAAAUCAAAAGACUUGGGGAGAGAAUGGAAUAAGAAAUAAGAGCCUUAAAAUAUUCUGAAGUAAAACAUCUCUGUAUGAAACUAACCUUCCAGUAUCAAUCAUCUUCUGUGUGUGGCUUCAGGUUUCAGAUUCCAUUAAUUUGAAAGAGCAUCAGUCUACUGAACAAUGGAGAGAUGUUUUUUCAGAAUCAGGAUAUAAACCCUCUUUUGACAAUCUGAAGUGUGAUUUUCCCAGAGGUAAUCCAUUUCAAACCAACAGUGACUACUCAUUUUAAUUAGUUGCAGGCAGUUUUGUAAAUUAAAUUCCCUCUUCUGAAGUCAAAAUUCCAGAAAGAGAAUGCUUUCAUUUUGCUAAUUGCUAAAUGAGUUUCCAGAACAAGGUAGAAUGAAGGAAGGGGUUUCUAAUCAGUAGGCACCUCUUAGAAGGCACACACCUGUGACUGUUGAGCAGUAUCUUAGUAGGGCUGGAAUGUUACCACAUUGAGUGUACAUGCUUGCAGUUAUCUCUCAAUCCAUACUAAUAGAUUCAGUUUACAUUAAAGACAAUUAUUUUUCCCCCUUCAGUCAUACGCCUUCAUGAUUCUGACUUGAAUUGGACAUAUGUGAUGUUAUUUGAAUUAAAAGUAUGAUCUAAUAACCCAAUACAAGACCUGAUGUUUUAAAGUACAGCAUUCUAAUCCCUUUUGUGAUAUUCACUCCCUUAGUGGCCUAAGGCAAAUAUCUUUUUCUAGGUUUCAAAGACAUAUGAAAGUGCAUGUAAACAUAGAAAUCACACACGCCUUCAAAAGCCCCUCUACCUCAAUCAAAGGAAAGUACUUGCUUGAGAUCCAAUUCAGAUCUGAAAGAAAACUUAGAACUGGUUUCUCUAUGCAAGUAAAAUUUUUGAAGGCUUCUUCCUACUUGAACAUCUGCAAUCCUUGGAAAUGGCUUUAGGCAAUUCUCGGAAGGAUUCUCAAGGAGAGACUGACCCCUGGAGGCGGACAGAGCUCUCUUUUGGCCAGACCUGGCUUUCGUUAUUCCCAGAUAUCAGGUAAAGAACUCUGACAAGAGAGGAUGAGAUCCGUGGGAAAUUCCAAUGUGUGCCUCACUUGCCUCCCUACCUUCUCUAAAAUAUUUGAAGACAAGGUAAUGAAACAAUAGGUGGUAGAAUAUAAAUAUUUUUUAAAUCAUGUGCUACUGGACCGUAAACUCCAUGAGGGCAGAGAUUUGUUCUAUUUAUCUUUAUAACCUCAUCUCUUGGUGCAGUGCCUUGCACUUAGCACUAAAUAAAAGUCUGUAGAAGGAUUAAAUGAACAAUUUAAUAAAUUUCAUCUAAUUGUUUUACAAAGAUUAAGUAAAUUGCACAAGGGUCCUAUACUUAGCAGAAGACAUGAAUGUUGGCUGAACAUCCAUCAAAAACAAUAUGGGCAGGAUGAAAGUUUAAAAACAUUCAGCCUGAGAGGAGAGUCAGAAGCAGCCCCAUGGAACAGAGAAUAGCUGUAGUUAUUUUAUGUCAGCCCUCAAUCACUGCCCCCCACUUUUCUAUCUUUGGAAUGGCUUUGAUGAUUCUUUUCAGAAGGAAUCCAUAAACUUCAGUGGCUUCAUAUCAACACGAAAAGGGAAGGGGUGGGGGAGGUACUGCUUGCUCUGUGUGGCUUAUAAGUUUUAGGCCAAAACACAGUCAUGAUGAGAAAACUUUAGCUUCUCCAAGAUUACUCCCCAUUGACCAAUGACUCAAGCUAAUCUAAGAUAUUAAAUAUUGUUAAUUGACAUUACCUGUGGUAAGUCAUAGUUUAAUUAUUAUUUGUUCAGUUACUUAAACCUUAAUGCUAAUAAGUGAAUCAUGUAAGAGAAAUUUUGGUUGUGGAAAGAACACAAAGUUAUUGUAGUUUUGAUUACUAAAUACUUGUCAAGGCUUUAGCAAAGCAAAGGCAGAAUGUUUUCCCCUAAUAAUUCAAUAUAUGAUAUCCCCCCAAAAGGAUGAAGUUAGUUAAAAAAUAUUUUUUAUUUUACUUUAUUUAUUUUGUUUUGUUUUAACACCAUUUGAAACUAUAUUGUGGGUAGGGCUCUGUAUUUUUCUUUGCUGCUUAAGGUCUCUUAUGAGCUCAUGAGUGUGCCCAUGUGUCUAGUGUUAUAGCAUUAAAAAAAGGAGUAGAUAAGACUUUAUAAAUUUCAUUAUCUUAUUAGAACCAAUCAUGCUUUCUCUCCAUUUAAGUUAUGCUCUAGGGAGAAGUCUUUGAGAAAAACUCAACUGCAAAUCUAAGCUAAACUUCUCAUCUUUCUUGCUCCACAAAUAUGUAGUCUAUCUUUUUAUAUACCUCUAAAUUUUUGCUUCAAACUCUUAACUCUUCAAAUCUCCUCAAUUCUUACUUUCUCUGUUCACAUAAGUUUAGAAUUAGUCUACAAUGACAGUCACAUUCAUUUCUUCUCUUUCUUGAGAAAAAAAAGCUUAUUUUCUGAUUAUAAAAGUAAUUUUAUGCUCCAGGUAUAAAACAAAGACAAUUAUAAAGAAAAAAUAAUUCCUAAUUCUACUACCAAAGAAAACUACUACUAACAUUUUAUAAAUUUCAUUCUUGGAUUUAAUAGCCUAUACUAUAUAUUUCUUUUCAAAGUUUGCUUUUCUCACAUAAUACAAUACUUUUCCCUUAUCUAUGGGAUAUGUUUUAAGACUCCUAGUGGAUGCCCGAUGCCACAGAUAGUACAGAACACUGGAUAUAUUAUGUCUUUUUUACAUAUACAUGCCUGUGAAAAAGUUUAAUUUAUAAAUUAGGCACCGUAAGAGAUUAACAGCAAUAAUUAAUAAUAAAACAAUUAGACCAAUAUAGCAAAAGUUAUGUGAGUGUGGCCUCUCUCUCUCUCCCCCACUCCCUCUCCCUCUCCCUCUCUCUCUCUCUCUCUCUCUCCCUCUCAGAAUAUCUUGUUGUAUGUAAUAUUUUCAGAUUGUGGCAACUGAAACCACAGAAAGCAAAAUUGCGGACAAGAAGGGACUACUUUGUAACAUUUUGAUAUCUUGAUACUUUUGUUUUAAUGCUUUCUUGUUGGCUUUAACUUCUUUUGUUUUUCUAACUUUUUAAGUAUUGAGUGCAUUAGUGAAUAUGCUUUUAAUUUUUAUAAAUUCUACUGGUGGUACUUUAUUUUUAAAAAACAUUUUAAACAUAUUUAUCUAGUUACCAAAAUCAUGAAUGAUUUAUAUUAUUUGAAACUAUACUAACCUAUUUUCAGCCCUUCCUACCUCUCGUCACCAUCUCUCCUCAUUUUCCAGGUUUGAUUACUUUAAUUAAGGAAAUGAUUAAAAAGAUUAUCAUUAUUAAAAUUUUAUUUUUGAUUAUCUAUUUUCUAUUUUUAAAUAUAUAUUUUAAAAUUUGCAAAUAUAUUUAAGAAUAAAUUUAGAAGAAGUAUCCCACCUUAACCCUACUUGACUAAUUUAAAUGAAUGCCAUCAUAACUUUUACUAUAAGUUUACCUCCUUUGGUUUCCUAAUUUAGAUUUAGCUUCUUAAUGUUUGAAUGUACCUUUAAGGUUUUCUCCUGCGUUUUUGAUGGUAAGCAUUUUUGUGAUUGGGAUUGACUGAGUUUUUUUUACCCAUUCUAUCUACAAACUCAAUUGCAAUAUCUUCAAUUGUGUAGCUGGUCAGUCCUUCUGUUUCAGGUAUUUGUAUUGUUGUUAUUGAUGACCUUUCUUUCCCAAGAGGAAUUCAGAGACAAUACAGCAGAAAUCAACUUUCAUUUAUUUCUCUGUGACAUCUUUAAUUAACCCUCAGGGGAAUGUAUAACCCACUAAGACUGGGCUAAGACUCUUCAAGCCAGUAGAAAUUGGUUCAUAUGCAACACAGAGAUGUCAUUUUCCUCUCCCCAUGCUUAGCAAAUUCCUGCUUCUCUCUUUUCCUUUAUGAGCCACUAUUUACUAACUCUGCAUUUAAAAGAUAAAAAUAAAGUUUUAGAAAAAAAAUCUGAUUUCAAUGAUUGAAAGGUCAGCCAAAACUUACAAAAACAGAAAUCUUACUUAAUGCUCCAAUAAUACUAUUAUAUUCCUAUUAAAAUUUUAGUUUAUAUGUAAUCCUACUUAACUUCAGUACACAUUGUUUUUAUACCAUGAGGUUGUUUUUAAUCUCUGCUAACUUUUUAUUUAACGUAUUUUUUUUCUAUUUCAAAGAACCACAGUGUGUUAAUUUUUAUACUGCUAUAAAGAUACUACCUGAGACUGGGUAAUUUAUAAAGAAAAGAGGUUUAAUUGACUCAUAGUUCUGCAUGGCUGAGGAGGCCUCAAGAAAGUUACAAUCAUGGCAGAAGUUGAAGGGGAAGUAAGGCACCUUCUUUGCAAGCCAGCAGGAGACAGAAAACUAAGAAGGCACUUUCAAACACUUAUAAAAUCAUCAGAAGUCAUGAGAACUCACUCACUAUCAUGAGAACAGCAUGGGGAAAUUGCCCCCAUGAUCCAGUCACCUCCCUCUCUCCCUCAAUAUAUGGGAAUUACAGGUCCCUCUCUCUACACGUGGGAAUUACAGUUUGAGAUGAAAUUUGGGUGGGGACACAGAGCCAAACCAUAUCACACAAACCCUUGUUUUAUAUUUUAUAGAUUUUAUAACAAUUUUAUAAAAUCUUUCUACAAUCCCCAUGUUAUUUCAUUUUAUGAGGUCUGUUUCUCCUGUGAGUCUUCCAAAUGUCAGUGCCUUAUUCUUAUAAUCAUGUAUGUGUAAAAUAAAUAUUUUCAUGCUGGAUUAUUUCUUUUUUACUUAUUCUGAAACUAUGAUAGCUCUCUUUAAAGAAAUUGGCUCAAUCCUCAAAAAUAAUCAAAUCCAAAAACACAUAAAUAUGUUAGUCAAUAGAAUAUGGAGACUGACUUGCAUCCAUUCUCUAUGCACAUAUUUAACUUUCUUAGAUGUAAGGCUGUAAGUGAGGCAGAAACACACAACUCAUUCCAAAUCCAAUCUUCGGAGGCAUGCAUCUAGUGAAAUUUCCAUGUCCUGAAAUGAGCUUCUUUCACCCAAUUUCUUAGAACCCUGUAUUUGACAACCAAUUCCUAGUUUUUCAUCAUAAAUUUUGUCUAUAGGGCAUGUACUCACAGAUAAUACACCAGCAGAGAGACAUGGAGUUGAGGAAUAAGAGAAAAGAGAAAUAGAGGCAGAAGGCUGUAGAAGGGGCUUCUGGAGUUUUCAAGUUGGUUCAGAACUUGCAUUUUGGGAACAGAGAAUAGAUUGUGGGAAUAGUGAAGAAUAUUUCCAUUCACUUUCAGGUAAGGAGGUUUGUUUCUAUCCUGUAGUGCAGCAUGGUUGGUGUUUUCAAUCCAGUUCUAUCAGCCUUGCUGCUAGUGGAAAUUCUUCCCUAAUUCUGGCAUUAGAAUAACAUUCAGCACUGGCUUUCAGUAUCAUUUUGAGUUUACUAAUUUUGGUGCCUUCUUUUAGUAGGAAUUGGAAAAAAUUACAUCAGGAGAUAAUAACCAUCUUAAAUUAGAUCUACUCUACCAUUAAUUUUUCAUCCCAAGCUGGCAUAAGCAAAAAAGGAUAUAUAUUACCUCACAUAAUAUAGAAGUUCAUGCAUGGGGUUAUUUUCAUGUAUGAGCUCAAAUGAUGUAUUCAGUUCUUGAAUAUUUUCCAUUUCCCAGUCUUUCAUAUCUACUUUCCUCUGUUGAUUUUGUUUCAAGCAGAAUUUUCUACGAGUGGCACUCAGAAACUACAUUUAAAUUCUUCUCCUAUGCCAACCACAUAAUAAAAUAAGCUUUUGACUCUGAGAUCACUGGCCUCAUUGAGUCAUGUGUCCAUCUGUGAACCAAUUUCUGUGGUCAAGGUUAUGUGGAACUUUGACCAGUUCUGGGUCAAUCAGGGCAUCCAAGCUGAAAACCAAGAACUGAGCCAGUCCCACUCAAAACACAUGAAGUACAGCACAUGGAGAUAAUUUUGAAAAGGAAAAUAAAAGUAGAGUUUCUUGGCAAAUGCAAUUUACUAAACAUUUGUGGGCUUACUUUCUAUUUGGAUUCAUUGAGUUCCAUGAGCUAGUGACUAAAGACAGAGACCUUGCAGAAUCAUGUUCCUUGAAUCUAGAUUCCAGCAGUGUCUAAGGACUAAGUUUUUUCUGCUUUCCACUAUUCUCAGAGCAAUACGCAAAUAUAACAUAGUAUAUGGUGGUAUAGUCAAUCUGCUUCAUUAUACCAUGGUGCAUUUAAAUUUAUGACUCUACAAUGAUGGCAAUUGUUCUUUGACUGGAAGAGGAAAAAUAGCAGGAAAUAUUUGGAAGGCUUUCUCCAUGUCCCAGCAUAUUACCAGACUUUCACUCUCAUCUUUCUGCCUUUGCUGGAACUGACUAGAGCUGGGACAUGGAUUUCAGGGGUUUUUUUUCAAUUUUCCAAGGAUUAAUGUUAUUGGAUUCUAAUCCAUAUAGAUUUGCUUGUUCACAAAGAGAAGAAGCCUCUGAAAGUUUUUCUACCAAGUUCCUAAAACUCCAGCCCUGAUUAUCAUAUUGUCUAGGUUCCAAGAUACAGCUCACCAUUUAAUGGAUGUUUUGCUACCACAUAAUCAGCAUUGCAGAAUUCCUAGCCUAGAAUGGAGGGAUACUCAUUGUCCUCUAUAUAAGCUGACUCAGUCAGUUUUACAUUAUAUACCCUAUUGUCUUAUACUCCAUGAACUGAGCCCCAUAAGGGAGAAUUGGUUCCCCCAUAAAACAAAUCUGAAAUACUAUUACUUGAAGAGAGUGACUCAAUUCUGAACAGACAAAAAUGAUGGCUUUCCAAUAUAAGCAACUACUAUGUUAAGACAGUGUGAUAAAAGAAGGAAAAAUAAUACAGUCACUUCAAAAAAGAAUCUUCAGUCCAGUGUCUGUGUGAGGAGAGCAGAGGAGAGGAGCCAC
rnacentral:lncRNA from 1 species